GGAGCUGGAACCGGGGGGGUCCUCUAGAGAUAGAGUUUGAUCCUGGCUCAGAUUGAACGCUGGCGGCAGGCCUAACACAUGCAAGUCGAGCGGCAGCACGGGAAGCUUGCUUCCUGGUGGCGAGCGGCGGACGGGUGAGUAAUGCAUAGAAAUCUGCCCGGUAGUGGGGGAUAACCUGGGGAAACCCAGGCUAAUACCGCAUACGUCCUACGGGAGAAAGCAGGGGAUCUUCGGACCUUGCGCUAUCGGAUGAGUCUAUGUCGGAUUAGCUUGUUGGUGAGGUAAUGGCUCACCAAGGCGACGAUCCGUAGCUGGUCUGAGAGGAUGAUCAGCCACAUCGGGACUGAGACACGGCCCGAACUCCUACGGGAGGCAGCAGUGGGGAAUAUUGGACAAUGGGCGAAAGCCUGAUCCAGCCAUGCCGCGUGUGUGAAGAAGGCCUUCGGGUUGUAAAGCACUUUCAGUGGGGAAGAAAGCCUUGGGGCUAAUACCCUCGAGGAAGGACAUCACCCACAGAAGAAGCACCGGCUAACUCCGUGCCAGCAGCCGCGGUAAUACGGAGGGUGCGAGCGUUAAUCGGAAUUACUGGGCGUAAAGCGCGCGUAGGCGGUCUGAUAAGCCGGUUGUGAAAGCCCCGGGCUCAACCUGGGAACGGCAUCCGGAACUGUCAGGCUAGAGUGCAGGAGAGGAAGGUAGAAUUCCCGGUGUAGCGGUGAAAUGCGUAGAGAUCGGGAGGAAUACCAGUGGCGAAGGCGGCCUUCUGGACUGACACUGACGCUGAGGUGCGAAAGCGUGGGUAGCAAACAGGAUUAGAUACCCUGGUAGUCCACGCCGUAAACGAUGUCGACUAGCCGUUGGGCUCCUUGAGAGCUUUGUGGCGCAGUUAACGCGAUAAGUCGACCGCCUGGGGAGUACGGCCGCAAGGUUAAAACUCAAAUGAAUUGACGGGGGCCCGCACAAGCGGUGGAGCAUGUGUUUAAUUCGAUGCAACGCGAGAACCUUACCUACCCUUGACAUCGUGCGAACUUUCCAGAGAUGGAUUGGUGCCUUCGGAACGCACAGAAAGGUGCUGCAUGGCUGUCGUCAGCUCGUGUUUGUGAAAUGUUUGGGUUAAGUCCGUAACGAGCGCAACCCUUGUCUUAUUUGCAGCGAGUCAUGUCCGGACUCUAGGAACUGCGGUGACAACCGAGAGGUGGGACGACGUCAGCUAUCAUGGCUAACGUAGGCUACACAUGUCCUACAAUGGCCGUCAAAGGUUGCGUAAACCCGCCAGA
rnacentral:rRNA from 1 species